rnacentral:rRNA from 1 species
AUGCAAGUCGAACGAUUAAAGCUUUCUUCGGAAAGUGUAUAGAGUGGCGUACGGGAGAGUAACACGUAAGUAAUCUACCCUUGGGUGGGGAAUAACUUAGGGAAACUUAAGCUAAUACCGCAUAAUGCAACGACUCUUAAUGAGAUGUUGUUAAAGCAUUUAUGUGCCUAAGGAGGAGCUUGCGGCAGAUUAGCUAGUUGGUAAGGUAAUGGCUUACCAAGGCGACGAUCUGUAGCCGGUCUAAGAGGACGGUCGGUCUCACUGACACUGAAUAACGGGUCAGACUCCUACGGGAGGCAGCAGUCGGGAAUUUUGGGCAAUGGGCGAAAGCCUGACCCAGCAACGCCGCGUGAAGGAUGAAGUCUUUCGGGAUGUAAACUUCGAAAUUAUAGGAAGAAUAAAUGACGGUACUAUAAAUAAGCUCCGGCUAACUACGUGCCAGCAGCCGCGGUAAUACGUAGGGGGCAAGCGUUGUUCGGAUUUACUGGGCGUAAAGGGUGCGUAGGCGGCGCGACAAGUCACUUGUGAAAUCUCCGGGCUUAACUCGGAACGGCCAAGUGAUACUGUUGUGCUAGAGUGCAGAAUGGGCAAGUGGAAUUCUUGGUGUAGCGGUGAAAUGCGUAGAUAUCAAGAGGAACACCUGAGGCGAAGGCGACUUGCUGGGCUGACACUGACGCUGAGGCACGAAAGCCAGGGGAGCGAACGGGAUUAGAUACCCCGGUAGUCCUGGCCCCUAAACGAUGAAUGCUUGGUGUCUGGAGUUAUAAUUCUCUGGGUG